UACGAAGGGUGCUAGCGUUGCUCGGAAUUACUGGGCGUAAAGCGCACGUAGGCGGCUCGUUAAGUCGGGGGUGAAAUCCUGGAGCUCAACUCCAGAACUGCCUUCGAUACUGGCAAUCUCGAGUCCGGGAGAGGUGAGUGGAACUCCGAGUGUAGAGGUGAAAUUCGUAGAUAUUCGGAAGAACACCAGUGGCGAAGGCGGCUCACUGGCCCGGUACUGACGCUGAGGUGCGAAAGCGUGGGGAGCAAACAGG
rnacentral:rRNA from 1 species